rnacentral:sRNA from 1 species
GCUGGGCAUGCAGGUGCAUGCCUGUAAUCCCAGCUAUUCAAGAGGCUGAGACAAAAGGAUCACAUGUUCAAGGCCAGCCUGGACAACUUAGUGAGACCUUGUUUCAA